rnacentral:misc_RNA from 1 species
GUGAAUCAUCGAAUUUUUGAACGCAAAUUGCACUCUUUGGUACUCCGGAGAGUAUGCCUGUUUGAGGGUCAGUUUAAAUAUAAACCGGUGUGGUUGCUGACUUUUGUGGUGACGCACCGGAUUUGGGUCGUCUUGCUUUUGGUUAAGUGACCUAAAAUUUGGCAUGAUUUUUUUCGAACGUAUUUAAAUGAUUUUACGUAGGUUUGCGAUAUCGAAUACUAGGUGUGGUUAUACUC